rnacentral:tRNA from 1 species
AUGGGUGUAGCUCAAUUCGGUAGAGCGCCGGUCUCCAAAACCGGAGGUCGCGGGUUCGAUUCCUGCCGCCCAUG